rnacentral:lncRNA from 1 species
AGAUGCAGCUGCUGCGCUUCAUGCAAAGGCAGCCCCACAUGGAGCAAACUGCAACAGUCAAAUCUGAGAAAAACCAGAACAUGGGUCACUGUGGCUUAUCCUGAAACGGUCAUUGUUGAUGUUGCCUGUCUCCACUACAAGCUAGUGAACGUUCCUGCUGCGACCACCUCAGCGGCGUAGCUAAAAUUUAUGCUGCCCGAGGGCAUGAAGCGACAGAGGAGCGCGAGCGAGGGUGCCCUGCUCUGCAGCCUCCUACCCCCACCACCGCCCUGACGACUGCCGGCCGGCCAGCUGGGCACUGUGCCACGCCACACUCUCCUUCCCACUCACGUUCUGANAAAACUUCACACACNGGGCAGGCAGAGAAGGACCUGGCUGCAUGUGCUGCCCGGGGCAACGUGCCGCCCGGGGCAGCCCAGCCCCNCCUUCCUAUGCCACUGCACCACCUGCUUGGUGGCAGCAAGACCAAUCCGGGGAGUGAAUUCUGNCAUGUGGUUUUUGUGCCAAGGAGUAGACCAGGUGUGGGUGCCAAGCACAUUCCCAGCACACCACUGGCACAGCCCAAAAGAUACUGCCAAGAUUUGGAUGUUCAUAGUACAGGGAAGGAAUACCUGUUACUGGAGAGAACAUGGGAAGAUUUGUACCCAAGAAUCACAAGGCGAACCCACACGGGUCAUCCAUAAGAACCUAUUAAAUGNCCUGCUGGAUUGCACCAAUGGUCCAUGUUCUCUGGCAGCCUGUUCUCACAAUGGCUAUUCAACUGCAGAUGGAAGCCAAUGGGCAGGACAAUGAGCACAACCAUCUUCCUUACUCACAGGCUCUUUCCACAUUUGCAUCUGUUGUUUUGAGAUGGGGCAUCCAAGAACAAGCAAUCCGUUCUAAGCUGGGGCAGUUGGCCUCUAGAGCAGGAGUGGGCUAGCUGCAUGUAGAGAGCCCAUUCUGCUUCAGUCCUUGCCACUGUCUCUGGAGAGCUCUCAGAGACAGCGGCAAGACUCAGAAACCUGGGAACAAAAAUUCCCGCCCUUCAAAUUUUCUGACCUGAGUGGUUUUGCAGUGGACCAAUUACUGGAAGUGCUUCUUUCAUCACUGAAGUUUACAACUAUAACAAACUAAGGCACCAUUUUUAGGUGUCCUAGCCCAGUCCAUGCUUCGUCCAAUGCGGAUGAAGUACAAUGAAGUAUGAAUUUGUUCCAGAAUAACGGGCAGGGUGGAAGGGGCCAUCGUCUCCUAGCCACUGGCGGCUAGAGGCAUAGUAGUUCCUACAACAGAGGAAGCCUCAUGCAGCUACAGGAUAGUGUUGUCAGAUUCCUAAAAGAAAACAAAGUUUUGUGCCUCUGUAUCAGUUGAAUGAUUAGUGAUUUGGGUAGGAGAGUUAGGACCGACAAGGGGAAGUAUUUUUUCACCCAGACGGUCAUUGGUCUGUGGAAUUUAUUACCGGAUGAGGUGGUGACAGCCAUCAGCCUGGACAGCUUUAAGAAGGGAUUGGACAGAUUCAUGGAGGUCAGGUGUAUCAAUGGCU